rnacentral:rRNA from 1 species
UACGUAGGGUGCAAGCGUUGUCCGGAAUUAUUGGGCGUAAAGAGCUCGUAGGCGGUCUGUUGCGUCGGCUGUGAAAACCCGGGGCUCAACCCCGGGCCUGCAGCCGAUACGGGCAGACUAGAGUUCGGCAGGGGAGACUGGAAUUCCUGGUGUAGCGGUGAAAUGCGCAGAUAUCAGGAGGAACACCGGUGGCGAAGGCGGGUCUCUGGGCCGAUACUGACGCUGAGGAGCGAAAGCGUGGGGGGAGCGAACAGG